rfam:Felis catus isolate Cinnamon breed Abyssinian chromosome C1, whole genome shotgun sequence.
GCCUGGGUGGCUCAGUCGGUUGAGCGUCUGACUUCAGCUCAGGUCAUGAUCUCACAGAUCAUGAGUUCAAGCCCCACAUCAGGCU